rnacentral:rRNA from 1 species
GACGGAACUGCCGGUCAUAAACCGGAGGAAGGUGGGGAUGACGUCAAGUCAGCAUGGCCUUUAUAUCCUGGGCUACACACACGCUACAAUGGGAAGGGACAAUAGGUUGCGAAGCCGCGAGGCGGAGCCAAUCCAGCAAAACUUCCCUCAGUUCAGAUUGCAGGCUGCAACUCGCCUGCAUGAAGUUGGAGUUGCUAGUAAACGCAGGUCAGCCAUACUGCGUUGAAUACGUUCCCGGGGCUU